rnacentral:rRNA from 1 species
AGCAGCCGCGGUAAUUCCAGCUCCAAUAGCGUAUAUUAAAGUUGUUGCAGUUAAAAAGCUCGUAGUUGAAUUUCGGGAUCAGUACGCUGGUCGUGCCUCUGGUAUGUACUGGUGUCACUGAUUCCUCCCUUCUGACGAACCAUCAUGCAAUUCACUUGGUGUGGUGGGAAAUCAGGACUGUUACUUUGAAAAAUUAGAGUGUUUAAAGCAGGCUCACGCUUGAAUACAUUAGCAUGGAAUAAUGAAAUAGGACGUUGAUCCUAUUUUGUUGGUUUCUAGGAUUGACGUAAUGAUUAAUAGGGAUAGUUGGGGGCAUUAGUAUUCAAUUGUCAGAGGUGAAAUUCUUGGAUUUAUUGAAGACUAACUACUGCGAAAGCAUUUGCCAAGGAUGUUUUCAUUAAUCAAGAACGAAAGUUAGGGGAUCGAAGACGAUCAGAUACCGUCGUAGUC